rnacentral:rRNA from 1 species
GAUCCUGGCUCAGGACGAACGCUGGCGGCGCGCCUAACACAUGCAAGUCGAACGGAGCUGAGAGGAGCUUGCUUUUCUUAGCUUAGUGGCGAACGGGUGAGUAACGCGUGAGUAACCUGCCCUGGAGUGGGGGACAACAGUUGGAAACGACUGCUAAUACCGCAUAAGCCCACGGCCCGGCAUCGGGCUGAGGGAAAAGGAUUUAUUCGCUUCAGGAUGGACUCGCGUCCAAUUAGCUAGUUGGUGAGG